rnacentral:rRNA from 1 species
CAGUUUAGGGGUGUUAAAGGGGGGGGCUACCAGCGAGUCGAGCGGAAGGCCCUUCGGGGUCUCGAGCGGCGAAGGGUGAGUAACACGUGAGUAACCUGCCCUGGACUUUGGGAUAACCCUCGGAAACGGGGGCUAAUACCGGAUACGACACGCCUUCGCAUGGGGUGCGUGUGGAAAGUUUUUCGGUCUGGGAUGGGCUCGCGGCCUAUCAGCUUGUUGGUGGGGUGAUGGCCUACCAAGGCGACGACGGGUAGCCGGCCUGAGAGGGCGACCGGCCACACUGGGACUGAGACACGGCCCAGACUCCUACGGGAGGCAGCAGUGGGAAUAUUGCACAAUGGGCGGAAGCCUGAUGCAGCGACGCCGCGUGAGGGAUGACGGCCUUCGGGUUGUAAACCUCUUUCAGCAGGGACGAAGCGUAAGUGACGGUACCUGUAGAAGAAGGACCGGCCAACUACGUGCCAGCAGCCGCGGUAAUA